rnacentral:lncRNA from 1 species
GACAGAGGUAGCAGAAAGUCCAGGAGAGGAGUUUCCACUGCAAAUUGACCACAGUCCAUUCUCUUUCCAGAUUGGAAGGGAGGUAAGAACUGCUAUAGCACCCCUGACUUCUUCAGUUACCUUCAUUCCCUCAGCUGCACAGCCACCAACUUGGGAAAUCGAGAUCUUGGACAAAAAAGGGUAAGUCCAAGAGAUGCUAAAUUAAAUGGACUUUUGGAAAUUUUUGUGGGAUCCACAGACAAUUGUUUUUGGGGGCGGGGGAAGGCCUUCCUUUUUUUUUUUUUUUUUAAACUGUGGUACAAGAUACACAACCUGAAUUUUACCAUCGUAAUUGGUUUUAAGGGUACAUUCCAGUGGAGAGGACUUUUCUGAUGACUCCAGUUCUCUCCCCAUACUGAUGUAGACUGUAUAGUCCUUUGCUAGCAAAUUUCUUCAGGGUCAGAUCGCAGGGGCUCCUCAGUUAAGCUGGGUUAGUUAGCUCCUGCAACAGGGAAGUCCUCAAAAAUACCAGAAAUGUGACAGGAAAUCAUUCAGGGGUCAUUUCUCCUUGAUGUGAGGGAGAUCUCAUUUCUUGCUGUGUCCCUUUAAUUUUUUAUCUCUCUGCCUUGGCCCUAACAACUUGUCCAGACCUGUGGCUUGCCCUUGGGCCUGCUUUCUUUUGUUAUGCUGCAUUUUUGUUCUCUGCAGACUCCUGGCUUAUUCUGACUCUGAAAAACCUAUUUUCCUUGGGAUCUGACUUGUCUGCCCCUUCAGUGGUCUCGCAUAGCUUAUUUGUCAGAUGUGACUGACAGCUCCUGCUCUCUACCUGAGCUUCAGCCCCACACCUCUGACUGCCCACUGGUCAUUUCCUCUGGAAUGUGCCAGUCAUUCUUCUGCCAACCAGAUUGCAACAUGUUUAAACACAACCUUCAUUUUUUUUUUGCCACAAACCAGCUGCUUUUAUAACCUCUCAUUCCCUGUCAAUAGUCCAUUAAGUCAUUUAGACCAGAAGCAACAUCCUCUCUGAUUUAAUCUCCCUUCACUGCCCUCAGCCAUUCAUUCCUUAAGAACACUCAGAUGUUCCUUCAAAUAUUGAUCAUUGUUUCUGUCCUUCCUCUACCUCCCCCCAUGCCCAUUUUCAGGUCCUUACCACCUCUCAUAUCAUCUAGUGCUCACAUCUACUCUUUCCCCCACUCAAUUUCCCGUGCCAGGCCUAGACCUAUCUUUAUUAAUCAAGUCAUGCCUGUUCAAAACCCUGAAGUUCUUAACUUGUCCUAUCAUACAGGUUUCUUGUCCUUUUCAAGCUAUUCAGGUUUCCUCUAAUUUGCUCCCAUUCUAGACAAUCUUUCUGCCAGGCAGCUAUGUUGUAAUGGAAAGUUUAAUGGACUUGGAAUUAGUGGGCCUGCUUUCAAAUCCCAGCUCUGUACUCAGCAGAACCACCUUGGGCAAUUCACUGACUCUCAGAGCCUUGGAUCCCCGUUUGCAAAAUGGGGAUAAUAAUGGUUCUGUCAUAGGGAACUUUAUGAGGAUUUAAUGAGAUAAUGUGUGUGGAAGCAAAUUAACAUUGUGCUUAGAACCCACAUUUAAGUUGACUCCCUACGUUUGAAUUCAGGCGUUUCCGCUCAAUAACUAUGUGACCUGGAGAAAGUUCCUUAACCUCGCUGGGCUUCAUCUUUUUUGUUUGCAAAAUGGAGAUAUUAACAAUGUAUAUGUCAUAGUCCAUAGUGAUGAUUAAAUUGAGACAAUAUAUUAAAGUGCUUAACACAGUUCCUGGCACACUAUAAACUCUAAUAGGUGUAAGCUAUUAGGAUUAUGUGCAAGAGAUUUAGUACAGUGCUGAACACCUAAUCAGGCACCUAAAAAAUAUUUGCUAACUUUGUUGAUGAAUUCAUCACAUCUAUAUGAUCUCAUUUCCCACUAAUUCUUACUAUGCACAUUCUUGUCACCCUUCCUCCAGACCGACUAUCUUGGUUUUCCAUGAAUACAUCUUCCACUUCUCUUGCCUUUGGUUACAGUAUUUCUCUUUUCCAGAAUGUCAUGAUUUCUCUUCCCUGCCUAUCUAAAUUCUUCCUGUUUUUCAAGGUCUAUUCUAAAUCUUGCUUCCAUAAAUCUUUUUCUUAGUACUUCUUUUAAAAAAAAUUUUUUUUAAUGUUUAUUUUUGAGAAGCAGAGAGAGAAAGAGACAGAGUGCGAGCGGAGGAGGGGCAGAGAGAGUGGGAGACACAGAAUCUGAAGCAGGCUCCAGGCUCUGAGCUGUCAGCACAGAGCCCAAUGCCAGGCUCGAACUCACAAACCAUGAGAUCAUGACCUGAGCCAAAGUCAGACGCUUAACUGACUGAACCACCCAGGCAUCCCUCUUAGUAUUUUUGUACUUAACCAAUUUCUCGCUCUUUUGAACCAGUUACCCUUGAUUUAGCAUCUGGUACACUUAGAUACUAUUUCCUGUAUAUUCAUUUUGUGUCUUCAACUAGUUUGGAGAAUAUUCCUCUAGCAUUGUUUCAGUAUACACAGUAUUGUUUCAGCAUUGUUUCAGAAGACACAGUAAAUAUAGUGAAUAUUUAAUCUCCUAGACUACUGUAUCAACUCAGCCCACCUCUUGGGAUCACAUUCCUUAAUUAUAUUUAGGGUCGAAUUUGGAGAGAGGGACACACACUUCGUUGUCUAAGGGUGAGGAAGGAUCCAGAAUUUUGAACCAAUUUUUCAGACUUAGAGUCACUUAUCAGUAGUGUGCACAUGAGGGUGGGCAGAUUGGGGGUAGAUGGUUAUAGAGAUAAGGAGUUCCCACUACAUGGGACAAGGUCCUAUGGCCUCUGGGGGCAAAGUGUUGAAGAAAUACCUAAGCAUGGCAUCUCAGCAGGUAAGGGGCUGGAGGCAGACUAAGAGGUGACUAAGACAAGGAAAGUGUCCCCAUUCAAAUCUGGUUCUUGCUGUGACAGGCUUUGCCUUUAACUAGUUUCUCAAGCUUCUUACACCUUACACAACACUUGCCCUAUUGAGAAACUGGUUUUGCGUGAAACUUCCCAUGGCUUGAAGCAAGUAUCCAUGACGGUGUUUGCAUACCAUUGGGGUUUUACCCCUCCCAAAUGUACCAAUAAAGAUGAAGCGACAUUCAGAUGACGUGGUAUGAAGGGAAUCACUGCAGCCUCCAAAACGGAGCAUGUUUGAACUAUGCGAAAGGUUCAUACCAGCAUUUCACAAUGAUCUCAGAGAAGGCCAAGGAAGACUAGUGCAGGAUGCAAGGUAAAGAACGUGGUCUUUGCCCUAGUUCUCACGGAGCCUUCUCUGUCCUGUAGCCUGUGAUGAUCUUCCCAUCUCUGGACUCCUGUACUACCUACUGUCUUGACCACACAGUUCAGUCCUGCAUUACACAUUGUCUUCUGAACAUUGCUUUACGAGUUGUGUCCCCCAGCUCAGUUUCUUGAGAAUGCAGACCAUCUCUCUGUCUUUGGUGUCCCCUAUGGAGCCUCUCGAUACAAUUUAACUCUAUUGGGCACAGCAAGAUUCCCAACAAUGAGUGUUGAUGGAUUUGUUUUUGAAAAUGUAAAUUCACAAAAAGUAGCUCCACUAGGGGGAACUGGUUUCUUUUUUUAAGUGGCAGGUGUUGGCAGUCCCCUCAUCAUUUGUGGUGCAGUCCUCAGUGGCAGCCUCCUUUCAGAGGUCAGGGACUCAAGACAUACAGGUGGGACACAAGGUCCCAGUGCUUUCCCACUUAAGAGAGAAGGAUGUUCUGCCUGGUGCCUGAGACCCCUUCCUGACUCCCCAUUCUGCUCCCAAUCACAGAGGCCAUACAGUCAGAGCCGUGAGGGACCUUGGGAGAUCAUCUGACUCAACUCCCUUAUUUUGUAGAUGAGGAAACUGGGACUCAGGGAAGCAUAGCUGAAGGUGGUAGGAAGAGGAUGAAUGGGCAUUGUGUCAGGUAGAAUUGGACACUAAUCCCAAUGCUGCCGCUUUCUAGCUGUGUGAUUGUGGAAGAGUCUCUUCACAUCUUGAAAGCUCAAUUUCUUCAUCUUUGAAGUGGGGGAGAACAAUGCCUACCGCCUGGAGUUGUGAGAAUUGAGUGAGAUCAUACAUGUAAAUGCAGUGUUUGGCAAUAAGAGAUGCUUCAUACUUGUUGGCUCUCUCUCCUUGCUUUUUCUUGAGUGUCCUGCCCAAAUUUAAAGUGCUGGCCUCUCCCGUUUUUCAAGUUAAAUAUAUUUUUCAGUCACAUACUAAGGCUGGCCUUCUACCUGCUGGAAAAUUAGUAUCAGCGAUUAAAAGUGUUUUGUAGUUAUCUUCACUGAGCGUUUGGACCAAUAUAUUUUGAGGACAUUUAUAUUACUUAGAGAUGAAAGAGCUUAAAAGACAGGAAUACUGAAUUUCAGAGUGAAAUUCAAAGGUGUUGAGGUUUUACCCAUUUUUCAGCUACAGUGUUUGAGCUCCUGGUGUCUUAAAAUAGUACUGAUGGCCUUUUACCCCUUAAAAAAAUUCCAUUCUCUGAUAUAUUUACAUGCUUUGCCUUGCAACCUGAUAUUUUUCACCUGUCUUUCUUAAGACAUACUCUGCAGUCCAUUAAUCAUUAAUUGGAGCUAAAAUGAAAACAUGGCUGUUGAGGUUCUGGUAAAGAUAUAAGAAAUGCACUGGUAAUGAUCAUGGCAGACUUGUGAGGUGGUUUAGUCUCAGAAAUGGAAUGGACAUUCAUAUCAUUUAUAAAAUUUAAUACUUUAUGGUGAACGUUUCUUUCCCAUGCUGAAGAAGGUUUAUGAGGAUCAUUAUUUCUCUUAAAAAUUUUAGCUAAGGGGCACCUGGGUGGCUCGGUAGGUUAAGCGUCCAACUCUUGAUUUUGGCUCAGGUCAUGAUGUCACAGUUUGGAAGUUCGAGCCCGUGUGGGGCUCUGUGCUGGUGGUGCAGAACUUGCUUCGGAUUCUCUCUCUCUCUCUCUUAAAAUAAAUAAGCUUUUAAAAAAAUGAAAACAAAUUAAAUAAAAAUUUUAAUUAUAUUCACUGUGUUUGGCUGCAAAUAUAUCUUUGCAUUAAGCAGAAUCAGGAUCAGACCAGAAGAAAAAUCUUAACAUGAAAUGUCUCCUAAUUAUGACUAUUACAAUUACCAAAUUGUGAUUGAUGAUUCAUUAUUUGGUGAAUCAGUUAGGUCCUACAAGGCAGAGGGACAAAGCAGGGGAAACCUCCCUGAAGUUUUCUUCGUAGAAGUUGUGGUAAGCAGAAUAAAGAUCCCUCAAAGUCCUUGUCCUAAUCCUCAGAACCUGUGAAUGUUAGGCUACAUAGCAAGGGGUGGGGAGAAUUAAAGUUGCCAAUUAGCCGACCUUAACAUAAGGGGAAUAUUCUGGAUUAUCCAGGUGGGCCCAAUGUAAUCACAGGGGUCCUUGAUAGGGAGGAAGGAGGGACAGAGGAGACCCAGAGAGAGGGUUGGUGAUGUAAGAAGAACCCAAUCGACCAUUGUUGGCUUUGAACAUGGAAGAAGAGCCCACAAGCCAAGGAAUGCAGGCAGCAUGUAGAAGCUGGAAAGAAUAAGGACAUGGAUUUUCCCCUAGAGUGGGAAAUAGCCUACUGACACCUUGACUUUAGCCCAGUAAGACCCCCCUUUUUUUUUUUGAGAGAGAGAGAGAGAGAGAGAGAAAAGAAAGAGAACACACGCAUGUGUGUGUGCAUGCGAGCCAGGGAGGGACAGAGAGAGAGGAGGGAGAGAGAGAUUCCCACAGGCUCUGCACUGUCAGCAUGAUGGAGCCCAAUGUGGGGCUUGAUCUCGCAAAUCCAUGAGAUCAUGACUUGAGGCAAAACCAAGAGUCAGCCACUUAACCGACUGAGCCAUCCAGGCGCCCUGAGACGCAUUUCAGAUGUGUGAGUUCCAGAACUAUAAGAAGAUACAUUUGUGGUGUUUUCAGUUACUAAGCAGGUGGUAAUUUGUUUAGAGCAGCCAUAGAAAACCACAACAGUGGGUUUCUCCAAAGGCUGACAGACUAUCCUGCCCCAAAGAUGCUGCCUCGCAUUCAAGGAUUUCACACAAUCAUAGGCAACAAGGUUUCCAAAGGGCCUGAGAGGUAGGGAGAGGCAGAAGACCAUUGUUAAGGGGGCAAAGUGAUCAGCAGUUAGAAGAGAGUGCUUCUCAUGUCUGGCACCACAAGGGAUGGAUACAAAAUAUAAAUACAACUCACAGCCUCCUGUCUGUGAAUAGCCAUAUUCACUAUUUACAUCACAUCUUAUAUGCCUUUAUAAAGGACUAUGCUGAAAUAGUCUCAUUUAGUCCUCCCACCAGUCCUAUGAGAUGGAAACUGGUAUUAUUCCGUUUUGUAAAUAAGAAAACUGAAGUUUAGACUGCUAAUUCUCCUGAAAUCAGACAGUAGUAAGUGGAAGAGAAGGGAUCCAAACAGAUCUGACUACAGAGACUAGGCAUUUCACUACUUUGAUAUCUGUCCUGCCUGGAGCUGCGUGGCCAGGAACUCAACUCACGUAGGGGCUGUGCAUUAGUCAGGGUAGCUUCUACUAAUAAAUGGAGGUUGUGGGGAGAGGUGCAGAGAAUAGUUAGCAGUGAACAUCCAUCCUCCAGAUGCCUGGUUUUCAUGAAUCUUCCUCGAAUAUACCUAUUGUCAAAAACAUCACUGGCCAGUAGUAGUUUCUUGCAAACAUUUUUAAUUCACUGUUCACCAAAAACCUAAAUUUGACAUGUUUAAAAUAUAGCUCAACCCACCUCCCCUACCCUAAUCAGACCUCCAACCGAGACUUUCCUAUUUCUUUUUUUUUUUUUUUAAAUGUUUGUUUAUUUUGGGGCACCUGGGUGGCUCCGUCGGUUAAGUGUCUGACUUCAGCUCAGGUCAUGGUCUCACAGUUCAUGAGUUCAAGCCCCACAUCGGGCAAUGUGCCGACAGCUCAGAGCCUGCAGCCUGCUUCGGAUUCUGUGUCUCCCUCUCUCUCUAUGCUCUGUGUUCCCCCACUUGUGCUCUGUCUCUCUCUCUCAAAAAUAAAUAAACAUUAAAAAAAUAAUUUAAAAAUAUUUAUUUAUUUUGAGAGUGAGAGAGAGAGAGAGUGCACACGCGUGUGUACAAGACCAGGAAAGGGGCACAGAGAGAGAGAGAGGGAGAGAGAAUCCCAAGCAGGCUCUGUGCUGAGGCUGGGCUCAAUCUCACCAACUGAACCAUGAGAUGACCUAAACCCAAUCAAGAGUCAGCUGCUUAACUGACUGAGCCACCCAGGUGCCCCUCUUUUUUUUUGUUUUUAAGUUUAUUUAUUUAUUUUUGAGAGAGACAGAAAGCACACAUGCAGGGUAGGGACAGACAGAGAGAGAGAAAGAGAAUCCCAGGCAGGCUCUGUGCUGUCAGUGCAGAGCCCAAUGUGAGGCUUGAUCUCACAAACCACGAGAUCAUGACCUGAGCCAAAAUCAAGAAUCAGAUGCUUAGCAGACUGAGCCACCCAGGCACCCCUCUAGUUCUUUUAAGAAUGUCAUUGUUAAUCCAGUCAUCUAUACUCAACAGCUAUAUAAACAAUAACAGCUAACACUUCCUGAGAACACAUUCCAGUUAUUGUGCUAAGCAUCUUAGACAUCAUCCAUUUAAUCCUCUCAACAACCCUAUGAGGAAGGUACAAUUAUUAGCCCCAUUUUAUAGAUGCGUAAAUUGAAACUUAUGUAAACCGCCAAAGGUGACACCUUAGCAUCAUCUUUCAGUACUCAUCUCCACCCUCCAUAGCAAAUGAAUCACCAAGUCUUCUCAAUUCUCUCUCUGUACUAUUUCUUGCAUUCAUUGCUUUCCUUCCCUGUCCAUUGCCACUGCACCAGUCUUAGCCCUUUUUGACUUAGGUCUGAAUUGUUGCCAGUGCCCAAUAUGGUCUCUCAUGUUCCACAAUUUCCUUCCUUAGAUCUUUCUAAUAUGCUUCGGUCAGACUAAGCCACCUAAAAACCCAGUUAUCCCAUCCAUUUCCAAGUUCAAACCUUUAAACUAGAGGACAUAUAGCCAAAUGUCCCCAGACAUCAUCCUUAGUAUGAUGGUAGCAAUACUUUUUUUGAAAAAUUAAAUAACUUUAUUAGAUUACAAUUAAAAGGAAAAAAAAUGUUACAAUUUUUAGGUUGAAAUUAUAGGACAAGAUACAGCACAAAGAUAAGCAAACACUAGUUUAGAGAGUUCUCACUAGUUAUCUGACCAUCCUAAAUAUACAAUUCCAUUUUUUAGAGACAAGCUUUUGCAUAGUUAGUAACGUAGUAACAUAGUACUAACAUAGUAGUUAUGUAAAUAUGCUUAGUGUUUUCCAUGUAUUUAUAAACAUCAUUAUUAGUAUUAAAAUAACUGAUGUACAUGGUAAAAGAAAAACUGAAACACAAUACCACCAAAGGAUAUAACAAUAAAAACAUUUCUGUCCCAAGAUUGAAUAAGGUGAUUUGUACUUCCUUCUUCACACUUUUCUGUAACUUACAGACUUUUAGCAAUGCACAGGUACUGCUUUAUAAUAGAAAACAAAGCUAAUAAAGCGUGAUUUUAAAAAGGAACCACAUUUUCCAUCAUUCCCUGCUACUUACAAUAUAAAAGCUAAAUUCUUUGGCUGAGGCCCUAUGUAAUCUGGCUCCAAACUGCUUUCCAGGCUUAUUAUAUACUACUCAAUACAAAUGUUCUGCUUCAGUUAAACUAUUUUAAGCACAUUUUCCCUGCUGUGUCUCUGACUGUGUGUUUUCUCUUCCUGGAAUGAGCUUUCCCAUUCUCUUUUAAUAUCCCAAUUCAAUCUAUUGUUCCAGAUCUAAGUGAGUUCUACAUACAGCUUUUCCUAAAGAGGAAGGAAUCAGUAGUCAGUAUUCACCAUGUGGGCUAUGUACUAUAUUUGGCGCUUUAUGUGGUAUUCAUUGGAACCUCACAACAGCUCUUGACAGUUGGCAUUAAUUACCUUCAUUUUACAGAUGAGGAAACUAAGUUUCCUUCAAGUCACCCAGCCAGUAUGUGAUAGAGCUAGAAUUUGCAGAUGGCUGUCUCUUCCCCAGCUCAGGGAAAUCUCAUUUGUUCCAACUUUUGUAGCACAUUAUCUGAGUAAGUUUGACCAGUAAUCACAGACGUGCAUUCCAAGAUGGUGGCAUUGCUCAUAAUACUAUUUUGAAUUACUUAUACUUUGCAUUUUUGUUUAUCUUCUCAACAAAACCUCCUGUGAGAAAACUUCGGUGUGAGUUCUCACUUGUGACUUCCUAGCUAUUUGUCUUUGAGUCAACUCCUUAACCUUUCUCGACCUCAAGUUAGGUAAUAACAAUACCUAACUCUUAGGGUUGUUAUGAGAGUUAAAAACUCAAUAUAUACCUGGUACAAAAGAGCUGAUUGUUGUGCAUUUGACUUAACAUGGUGAUAUUAAUUUAUUUUCAAAUUCCACUUAAUUUCUAGUUUCUUUAUACCAGGGGUUUGAGAUAUUCCUAAGACUCAGUGUCCUAAAGAGGACUAGACCUUUUUCUUUAAUACAAAAACUGGCUUUACACAAAUUUAAAAAGAAUUUUUCAAUUAAAACGGGAUUUUACAGGAUGCCUGACUGGCUCAGUUGGUAGAGCAUGUGGCUCUUGAUCUCAGGGUUAUAGGUUCGAGCCCCACGUUGGGUGUAGAGAUUACUUAAAAAAAAUCUUGGGGUGCCUGGGUGGCUCAGUCGGUUGAGCGUCCGACUUCAGCUCAGGUCAUGAUCUCAUACUCCAUGAGUUCAAGCCCCGCAUCGGGCUCUGUGCUGACAGCUCAGAGCCUGGAGCCCGCUUCAGAUUCUGUGUCUCCCCCCUCUUCCUACCCCUCCCCUGCUCAUGCUCUGUCUCUCUCUGUCUCCAAAAUAAAUAAAAACAUAAAAAAAAAUUUUUUUUUUAGUCUUAAAAACCCAUUAUUUUGCUAUUUAGUCAGAAUAUCCUUUCUUGCUGUUUAAUCAACAUUGAACAAGAAGUUCAGUUACUGGUUAAAAAUUGUUCCUAAAGGUAAGGAAAGAUAAGUUACAAACAGAGAUGGAGGCAAACCAUAAGAGACUUUUAAAUACAGAGAACAAAUGGAGGGUUGAUGGAGGUGGAGACCUGGGGGGGCGGUGGGGAAAAUCGGAGAUGGGCAUUGAGGAAGGCACUUGUCGGGAUGAGCACUGGGCAUUGUAUGUAAGCGAUAAAUCAUGGGAAUCUAUUCCUGAAGCCAAGACUACAUUGUAUAUACUGUAUGUUAGCUAACUUGACAACGAAUUAUUUAAAAAAUAAAUAAAUGAAAAUAAAUAAAUAAAAAUGUAAAAAAAAAUGUCCCUAAUGGUAAAUGUCUACAUUUAUAAACAGGAAUAUUGUUAUUGAAUGUUGUCAUUUUUAGUCCAGAGAGCCACUGUGGAUUUUAAAAUUGAGCACAUUGGGACCUGAAUUUACUCAAAAAAAAAAGGGAAAAACAAUUAAAAAUUGCUGGCCUUCAAAAACAGCCUUUUUUAAUUUUUUACUAUUCUUUAUAGUAAAAAGAAGAGAAAAAGAAUACAGAGAAAGAAUACAGAGAAAAAGAAUAUCGCUGUAUUUACUCCAACUAUUUUCCUUUAGGGUCAGAUGAAAAGAAGCAAAAUUCACAAAUACUUUCUAGCCUUUUAUCUAUUUACUUACUCCCUACUACCACCAUCAUUUUUUGGUGGUUAUAAAAUAAUUUUUAAGCCUUUUGAAAAUAAGUACAUCUGGUGUUAGAAAUGAUAAAUCUUUUAUUCUUAAUAUUCUAUUUCACAUUUAUUAAGAGUUGUCAAAACAACCUUGACAACCCCCCCCCCCCAACGUGUGUUCUAUAUAAAUGAAAAAUAAAGUUUGGGCUAUAACUAGCAAAAGUCCAUCUACAACUUGCCUGAGCUCACACAGAGAAGUUUGCAUCUCUCAGAGUACUUUUCGACCUGUUGGUUAUGAAUUGUUUGAUUAAACAAAACAAACAGUCUGGUUAUCACAUCAUUAGGAUCUUCAUCGGGUUUACAUGUCUCGCAUCUGUCUAUAGCGAGGGAUGAUCCUCUUUUCCGUAAGUGUCAAGCUUCUUGUCAGAAUAGAUUCUAUUCCAGUUUCUAUUUUCUUCCUUUUCAUUCCCUUUUCAAGUCACUGCAAUCUUGCCUGUGCAAGACUGUUUUCAGUGAAACCACCCUGUCCACGGUCACUUUAUUGCUAAAUCAGAGACCUUUUAGACCUUACCAUCGAGACUUCUCUGAGCAUCAACUCACUGGAAGCACACUCUUUCCCUGCUUGAAACUCUUUUCUUGACUUUCUGUAACAGCCGUGAUCCACUGCUUUUCUUCUUUCCUAGUUUCUCCUUCUCAGCAUCCCUGUGAGCUUCUUUUGGACUGCCUCUUCCCAAAACAUCAGUAAUUCCCUUGAUUCCCAACAUCUUUUUUCUCUCACUCUCCAUUGGCCAUGACUGUGACUAAAAUAUGGCUAACGAAUCCCAAAUCUUUAUCUCCUGCCUGGACAUGGCCUCUGAGCUUCAGACUCAUGAAUGCAACAGUCUAUUCCUCUUCACUUUCCAUAGGUACCUUGAACUCAACACGCUUAGAAUUCAACUUAUCUUUCCCCUGGUGAUGUAAGUAGCCCUGUCACCCAUCCAUUUGCUUGAGUCAGAAACCUAGAAGUCAUCCUAGAUACUGCCUUCCCCCUUAACGGUUCAGAUCUAACUGGUCACUGGUCCUUUUGAUUCCAGUUUUUUAACAUCUCUUCCAUGUGUCUUCUCUCCAUUUAUAUUUAACUCUCUAACUUGUGCAAGUGUCCCUCGUCUUGCUUUACGUCAUCCCUUCCAAACCAUUUUUUAUGCCACAAAAUGCACACUGGAUCCUGUCAUUUCUCCUGCUUAAAAUCUUCCAGUGGCUUCCUCACUGCUUGCUUUGAGUAGAGUCCAAGCCCUUUGGCAUAGCUUAUAAGGCCUCUAUGAUCUUGUUUAUGCUUAGAUAUGUAGGACACGUUAUACAGAUUGCAGCUCUUCCAUUUACUGUGUGAUUAAACAAGUUAACUGUAAAAUGGAGGUAAUGGUAAUUGUGAGGAUUUAAAUGAGAUCAUUUGCAAAAAACGUUAGCUGUUAUCUUAAAUUACAGUUAACAUCCUUAUUUGUAAGUCUAUGGAAAACAGUACUAUCAUUUCCUGAAGAUAAAAUUCUUAAAGUAGAAUUGCUGGGUAUGCAUUUUUAGACUUUUCAAAGCAUAUUGCCAAAUUGCCCUGCAGAAUAGUUACACCAAUUUAUACUUUGACCAGUGACAUUGAGAAGGCCUGUUUCACCACACUCUUGACCUAAUCCUGGGGUUACUCAUUUAAAAAAAAUCUUUGCCAAAUUGAUAAGUGAAAGGUCAUCUAGUUUUUAUAGUUAAUUAUGUCUAUUUACAUAUUUGCUACCGAAAGAUCAGAUAUACACUGAUAACAGCGUUAUUGCUAUUUACUUUUUCUCAGUUCUAAGUCUUAAUUUGACAUUGAGGUUUUUUCACCUCUUUCAUGAGCUGGGAUUUUAUGUUUUUGAACCCCUUUACCUCCUUCUUUCCUUCCAUUUCCUUAGUAAACAGUAUGUAUUUGCUUAAUUUAAUCGAAUGAAAUUGAAUUCCUAUUAGACUUUUAAGUACUACAUUUGGUGCAAUUUCUUUGUUUCUUUAGAUGAGGAGCACAGACUGCUGUACUGAGAGUUGGGAAACCUGUUUCUAAUCCCAGCUCAGUCCCUGACUAGCUGUGCAUCUUUGGGCAAGCCACUUAACCUCUCUGGACCUUCGCUUUCUUGUAUGUAAAGUGAGUGGGAUGGUACCAGGUAAUGUCUCAGGUAUCUUCUACUUCUCAUAUUACAUAGCUAAAAUGUUUCUUUCAUGCGGUUUCUUCAGGGGCAAACACUUGGAACUGUGUAGGACCUUAUAAUGCAUAGCAAGGAGUUCAAAUUCUAUCCUAAAGAAUUUAAGCAAGUUAGUACAUGAUCGGAUUUAUGAAGCCUAAAUAUAACUAAGCCUAAUAGUUUGGUUUUGAAGAGAGAGUUUGAAUAAUCUAUAAAUAGUUAUUUAAUCUGGCAGCUCCCUUUCCAAAUAGGAAGGAAGCAUGUUUGAUAAAAAUGUGUAGCAUUUUGUAGUAUUUGUAGAAUACUGUGUCUCCUACUCUGCCACAAAUACUGCUCCCCUCCAGGACAGUGUCAUCUCUUUGAGGCAAAACUUGCUGCUUUACAGAACUAUGAUUCAUUUGUAUAGUGCCAUGAGCCCCAGGACAAUAGCAGCCACCACCAUCCAAAGUCAUAGCCAAGACUUAAAUGUAAAGUAGGUCGAAUUUGUUUUUGUGGGGUGUGUGUGUGUGUGUGUGUGUGUGUGUGUUUGUGUGUGUGUUGAUAGUCCUUUAAAAAUCUGUUGAAAGCUAGGUACUCACAGAAAAACCCACAUAAGAAUAUAUGCACAAAAUUUUAGGGGCCUCCUGGACCCUUGGAAGCCCAUCCAUAUAUUCCCUAGCAAUACAUGAAUCCUAGGGUAGGAACAUUUAUUGGGACAUUAAAGGGAUCCCUGGAGAUUAAAUAACCAAAAAUGCUUCCUUUCUGGAAAGAGAGCUGC